GGGGGUACAGCCCCUUUAACACAGGACACAACCUCCACCAGCGGAUAACCCCACCCCAUACCACACCCCGUAGGCCCUAAAGCAGCCACCCAUAAAGAGUGCGUCAAAGCUCAAACACAAAAAAUGUCCAAAAACAACACGACUCCCUACACCCCAACAGGCUAACCUAUCACUAUAGAUGAAUCAAUGCUAGAAAGAGUAACCAGGAUAUCACAUCCCCUUAAGAGCCAACCUACACACAAUUGUCAAGACAGCCAUCCAUAACAUACACCCCCCCCUUGAUUGACACACUGUUUGUUCAACCAAGGGAGGGACAAAUAGGUCGAUCCAUACCUACCUACGGAAGGCGGCAGACACAAGCAAGGACUGUUUGUCUAACACAUACAUAUCAUUCAAACAAGCAAUGAA
rnacentral:rRNA from 1 species